AACCCGGAAAUUCUGGAGUGAUGAAGCAGAUGGAUCAACCUCAUGAAGGUUCUAGCAGGAAAAGUUUCAGUUUUAGUUCUUGGGAUAGGAAGUGUGUUGGAACCAGGCGACAAAUUCGCAUCAAUUGGAAAAAUUUGGUUAAAGAUCAUUUUAAAUAAAAUGACUUUAAUCACGACAUAAUUUACAAUAUGUGGAAUUUUAAAUAAAAUUAUUUGUUUUUCGUUGUUUGAUAGAUUUAGGAAACUGAUCAGUCAGUGGGCGGGGCUAAAACUGCGGUGAUUAAAGGCGAUUGGCCAGAAAUUGACAUACUGUAAGUUACCCCAUUCAUUUAAUCCACUUUUAUUUUAUAUCUACAUAAAUUGAAUUUUAUUUCUUAUUUUUAUUUUUUUAACCAGAAGAACCUGCAGAAAUGUCACCAUCGUCAUCUGGUCCUGGACAAGACGGCAGCAGAUCAAGACAUCUUCUACUUUUCCAGUUUUAUUUACAACAGAUCAACAGAACCUGGCCAGAACACACCAUGGAGUGCUGUGAAAAAGCCCAGCUGGUGGGAAACAUCUGGAGAGAGACAUCAAGCUCAAUUUGUGGCAGGCAGAAGAACUGCCACCACCUGCCGCAGGAUGCCAGAAGGUGAUCGCUGCCAAUCAUGAAGCGAGGACAACCAUCUGGAGGUUCCCUCAAACCAAACCAGAACUUCUGACUAACCUGGGUUCCUCCGAGCCGCAGCACCUCCUCCCGGCUGAGCUCCUCUCCUCCUGCAGCCUCCUCUGCCUCG